rnacentral:rRNA from 1 species
GACGAACGCUGGCGGCGUGCUUAACACAUGCAAGUCGUACGGUAAGGCCCUUUCGGGGGUACACGAGUGGCGAACGGGUGAGUAACACGUGAGUAACCUGCCCACAACUUUGGGAUAACGCUAGGAAACUGGUGCUAAUACUGGAUAUGUGCUCCUGCUGCAUGGUGGGGGUUGGAAAGCUCCGGCGGUUGUGGAUGGACUCGCGGCCUAUCAGCUUGUUGGUGGGGUAGUGGCCUACCAAGGCGGCGACGGGUAGCCGGCCUGAGAGGGUGACCGGCCACAUUGGGACUGAGAUACGGCCCAGACUCCUACGGGAGGCAGCAGUGGGAAAUAUUGCACAAUGGGCGCAAGCCUGAUGCAGCAACGCCGCGUGCGGGAUGACGGCCUUCGGGUUGUAAACCGCUUUCAGCAGGGACGAAGCUUUUUGUGACGGUACCUGCAGAAGAAGCACCGGCUAACUACGUG